GUUAACAACCAUCCUAGAUGAGUGUUACGGCCAGCUUCAUUUCUCCCAGGAACUCCAAUUAUUCUACAAAUAAGGCCUUUCCUUACAGCAGGAAUUAUCUUGUCCUGGUGGUAUGUGCUGAGAAGUGACUCUAAUUAUUGGUCCAAGAGGCAAUAAGCAGAAGCAGACAGAAGCAUACAUGGGUCCUGACAAAGGGCUCAGUUUGAGUUCAGGUCCUUCUAGUUGACCAGAAUCUUGACUCCAGAGAGAAGGAGUGAGAGGAGAGUAAAACAAGGAAGGGGAAAAGGCCAAUACAAAGAUGAGAGAUGCAUCUGAACAUCAGAAACUUCCAGGAACUUCAUCAGACUUCACCAGAAAAAUACUGAUGGGGACAGACUGGAAAAACACAGGCAGCUUCCAGGCUUGUAUCAGAGAACAAUAUGCCAGAUUAAGAGGCAUUGCUGUAGCUAAUCUAUAAUGAGAACAAAGAGCGUAAUUAUCUCCUGAAUGCCAGAGCAAACUGGAAAGAAGCUCAAAUAAUGACAAAGUUAAAGUGCCUUGCCAAAAAGUCUUCUAGAUUUGGCUUUCUCCCAGUUCUCCAUAG
ensembl:lncRNA